GUAGAAGAGAAGAGCCCUUUUUCACCACGUAGACGUGGGCUCUGGUUGUUCUAGAUUGGGGUUCACUUGCCCAUGACCGGGAGAGAGGGCAGGGACCUUGGUCAAUCAGCAGCCCCCAAGAGACCUGGAAGACAAGGAGCGCGCGAGUGGUGGUAUCAUUCUGGGAGGCUCCGAUGCAAGAAACUCUGUCUGUGGACACUGCUGUCCUGAAAGGGUUAAUGCACUUAAUUAAGAGGGUGGUGCUGCAGAUUCAAAUGAGGAGAAAUCAACUAUGCUGAACAAGAAGCUGGACUAGAGGGCCAAAGGCCUGGGCCGGGAAAGCAAGCCCCUGGUACAGGCAACACCUGCAGAGCGGAAGGGAGUGGGAGUGAGGAGGGAAUCGAGUGCUUCCGGCAGUGCUGGCUAAAUGGUGGAAGGCGCAAUGGAGCUUCUUCCUCUUACCCUCAGCAAGAACUUCAGGAACUGCUCCAGCUGAGAUCGGGAGUGGAAACAGAAAGACAGAGAGGAAGGGAAGGAGGGAGAUGGAGCAUAACUGUGCUAAUAAAAAGGGAGCCCUGAAAAGGACUCAAAACUUCCUCCUCAUUCCCAUCCUGUCACUUGCAGCAGAAACUAUUGCCUUGGGACUUGCCAGAGACCUGAAGAUUCCUGAACUCAAGACAUGGCUGGACUUACCAACAUGCUUGGUAAGUCCAGAAUGCAGCUGUGUGACUUUGGGGAUUUGGAGGCUCGGUCACAGAAGUCGCAGCUUCCCCACGUGCCUCUUCGUCUGCUUGCUUUUGAACAUUUCCUCAUGGGCACCAGCCUUGAGGGCCAUGCUGUGAGAAGCUGAAGCCGCUGGAGAGGUCCCUGUAGAAGUGCAGAGACAGAGAGGAGCAGAGGACCCAGGAGGCACCGGAAGCAGGUGUGAGGAACCAUCUUGUAAGUGGAUCCUGCCCCACAUGACACUGUGAGAUUCAGAGAUGAAUGGCCCAGCCAAUUUCUUCCCAAAUUCCUAAACCAUACAAUUGUGAGCUAAAUAAAACUGUUGUUUUAAGUCACUA
rnacentral:lncRNA from 10 species